GUCCUUGUUUGGUGUAAGAUUAAGAACUCCGUUUGAUGUCUGCAGUCUUGAUUAGAUUCUGGAUUAUAUCUCAGAGAGAACAGAAAGUUCGGAACAAAGAUUAUGCUUUUUUUUCCCUCCCACUCAGGAAGAUUGUUUACAACAACAAAUCACUCACAUUUCUUGAACAACUCCUUCAUAAAAACUGGCUCAAACAACUCCUUUUUUUUCCAUGGCGUAUUGUUAAGAAUUAACAUAUGCGUUACACGGCAACCUCCUAUGGAUGAACAACAUUUGUAAAGCAGGUCUGCAUCUAAUGCAACUUUAUCUUCUGCAACAAAGCGGCUGAAGAGGAUUAAUGCUGUUGCCACAGAAACUUAGUGACCAGUGGGAAGAGAGAGUGGAGAGGGGUAGGGAGUCCAUGGAGAGAGUAGAAGCAGGCUCAGAGGCGAUUCAGUCAGACGUACAGGCAACCCUUCACCUACACAGUAGAUAGACAAUUAUUUGAGGUGACAGAUUCUUAAAAGAGUCCUGCCAGUCUGUCACCAUGCUGCACCCUUUAAUCAUCGGCAUUAUAACCGUAAACACCUCUCUAACCGUCAUCUACUGGACCUUCAUCCUCAGCGAUGCCUACCUCAAAUGGAUGAUGGAGACAGAAGACAAACCCAAGAAGUUGGUUACCCCAGCUUGAGGGAGUCCGAGUCAAUAUGGACUGACCAGAUGACUGGGUUAAAUCUUUUUCUUUGCUUAUGACUAGUCUGCAAGAGCAGUUGAGCUUGUAGUGCGUUCUGUGGAGAUUUUGCAACAGAUCUUCUUUCGGUUUCACCUGAAAAAGAUUCAGAAAACCUUUGUUUGUUAACUUGUUCAUUUUUUAUUGAGCUGAUUGCCAUUCUGGACAUGAAUGACAAAGAAGUCUGGGAUUCAUCUAAAACCUUAACACAGAGCCGUCUGUGUACAACAAACAACAAUUUGGAAGUCUUUUCAUUCACAAGGCAAAAAAUGUUUAGGACCUCAACUUUUGACUACAAGACUGGGUUCUUGGCCCUAAACCAUCAAAUGAUGACUUAGAGGAAGGGGAAGUAGAAACAGAAGAAGAGCAGCGACUGAGCGUUUCCAGUAAUCUGAUGGAGAAAGACGGGAUGAAGAUGGAGAUGGAGAUGGAGGAAGAAAAGUACGCUCUGCUGCCUGGUUUCCACCGGGGAGACACAGGCUGCCACCAUCCACCCUCUCCUCCUCCUAUGAGAAGUGUCAUCGCUUCAUCAUUAUCCAGAGAAAAAAGGAUAUCAGCUCAUAGUGUGACCUUUGCCUGCCCCAUGACCCCUUAUGUCACUUCUCUUUGAAUCUUGUCACAGCAGUAGUUCAAUUCAGAUUCUGUCACAUAUCUCAUUUCACCGCAUUGGUCAUUGUUGUAUCUUUGCUGUAGAGAUGCUGUAGUAGCUAAUGCAUUUUUGUUUUGUAUAAAACACACAUUAUUUGUACGUAUUUUGCUAAUGACAGCUUACUUUGAUUGCUUAUUAAAAGUGUAUAUGAACCUGG